rnacentral:misc_RNA from 1 species
GAAAUGCGAUAAGUAAUGUGAAUUGCGGAAUUCAGUGAAUCAUCGAAUCUUUGAACGCACCUUGCGCUCCUUGGUAUUCCUUGGAGCAUGCCUGUUUGAGUAUCAUGAAAUCUUCAAAGUAAAUCUUUUGUUAACUCAAUUGGUUUCUACUUUGGUAUUGGAGGUCUUUGCAGCUUCACACCUGCUCCUCUUUGUUCAUUAGCUGGAUCUCAGUGUUAUGCUUGGUUCCACUCGGCGUGAUAAGUUAUCUAUCGCUGAGGUCACUGUAAAAGGUGGCCAAGGUAAAUGCAGAUGAACCGCUUCUAAUAGUCCAUUGACUUGGACAAUACUUUUAUGAUCUGAUCUCAAAUCAGGUAGGACUACCCGCUGAACUUAAGC